CGCUGGCGGCAUGCCUUACACAUGCAAGUCUAACGGCAGCACGGGAGCAAUCCUGGUGGCGAGUGGCGAACGGGUGAGUAAUACAUCGGAACGUGCCCAAUAGUGGGGGAUAGCCCGGCGAAAGCCGGAUUAAUACCGCAUACGACCUGAGGGUGAAAGCAGGGGAUCGCAAGACCUUGCGCUAUUGGAGCGGCCGAUGUCAGAUUAGCUAGUUGGUGGGGUAAAGGCCUACCAAGGCUACGAUCUGUAGUUGGUCUGAGAGGACGACCAGCCACACUGGGACUGAGACACGGCCCAGACUCCUACGGGAGGCAGCAGUGGGGAAUAUUGGACAAUGGGCGCAAGCCUGAUCCAGCCAUGCCGCGUGUGUGAAGAAGGCCUUAUGGUUGUAAAGCACUUUAAGCGAGGAGGAGGCUACUGAAGUUAAUACCUUCAGAUAGUGGACGUUACUCGCAGAAUAAGCACCGGCUAACUCUGUGCCAGCAGCCGCGGUAAUACAGAGGGUGCAAGCGUUAAUCGGAUUUACUGGGCGUAAAGCGCGCGUAGGCGGCUAAUUAAGUCAAAUGUGAAAUCCCCGAGCUUAACUUGGGAAUUGCAUUCGAUACUGGUUAGCUAGAGUGUGGGAGAGGAUGGUAGAAUUCCAGGUGUAGCGGUGAAAUGCGUAGAGAUCUGGAGGAAUACCGAUGGCGAAAGGCAGCCAUCUGGCCUAACACUGACGCUGAGGUGCGAAAGCAUGGGGAGCAAACAGGAUUAGAUACCCUGGUAGUCCACGCUGUAAACGAUGAGUGCUAGUUGUCGGCCGGCAUGCCGGUCGGUGACCAGCUAACGCAUUAAGUUAUCCGCCUGGGGAGUACGGUC
rnacentral:rRNA from 1 species